AACGAACGCUGGCGGCAGGCUUAACACAUGCAAGUCGAGCGCCCCGCAAGGGGAGCGGCAGACGGGAGAGUAACACGUGGGAACGUACACUUCGGUUCGGAACAACCCCGGGAAACUUGGGCUAAUACCGGAUACGUCCGAAAGGAGAAAGAUUUAUCGCCGAGGGAUCGGCCCGCGUCUGAUUAGCUGGUUGGUGGGGUAACGGCCCACCAAGGCGACGAUCAGUAGCUGGUCUGAGAGGAUGAUCAGCCACAUUGGGACUGAGACACGGCCCAAACUCCUACGGGAGGCAGCAGUGGGGAAUAUUGGACAAUGGGCGCAAGCCUGAUCCAGCCAUGCCGCGUGAGUGAUGAAGGCCUUAGGGUUGUAAAGCUCUUUCAGUGGGGAAGAUAAUGACGGUACCCACAGAAGAAGCCCCGGCUAACUUCGUGCCAGCCGCCGCGGUAACAC
rnacentral:rRNA from 1 species